UACAGGAGUUGUUGGGUGCUUAGCAAUGAUCUCUGAUAAAAGAAGCACUGUCUAACAUUUUUAAAUGAGGGCUAAAAUGGUAUGAAGUUAACAACAUGAUAAAAAAAAAUCAGUGUCUUCAAGUAUUAAUUCAUAGUGAUGGCCUGAUGGAAUAUACAAAGGGUAAACUAGUGUACAAUGCCCAGUUAGGAGACUAUUGUGGUAGGCUAGAUGGGAGGACAUAGGGGACUGAGAUAAGGAUUUUAGUAAGAAUAAAGGGGUAGUUGAAGGUAAGAACUGGUAGGUUUAGAAGUAGAAUACAUAUGAAUGAGAAAGGGAAAUAUCUGAGUAUUUGGAGGAUUUAGGCCUGGAUAAUCAGGAGAGUGGCAGUUUUAGGAACAGAGAAAAGUUGAGUCAUAGAUGCCUUUAUGUGGUUCAUCUGUCUUGGUCUAGACCAGUGGGUUCUCAACUAGGGGUGAUUUGGCAAUAUCUGGAGGCAUUUUUGGUUGUCACAGCUUGGGGGUAGGUGGUGAGUUAGAUGCACUACUGGCUUCUGGCCAGCGGGGGCCAAAGAUGCUAUAAUUGUCCUACAGUGCAUAAGACAUCCACCUUCCAACAAAGAAUUACCUAGCCCAAAAUGUCAAUAGUGCUGAGACUGAGAAACUCCGCUCUAGGCUACAGGGACAACUUGUAAACCUGAGGCCCUCAGGCAAGUCAGGCAAGGUGAUGGGCCAAGUACAUUACAGUAAUCUAUUGUUGGGACCCAUGCCAACUCUGAAGCUGCUACCCACGAAGUAUGAUUUGAGGAGCUGUCAUCACUGGGUCCUUCUCUGGGAAGGAAGCCAGCACCGGAAUAGCCAGUGUCAGGCUGGAGGCAGAGGGUGCACAAGCCAGUUGGGCUGGACAGAGAGGCUCUCUUGGGAGUUGCUGGUCAAGGUUCUGGGGCUGGAUGAACAGACUGGACAUACAGGGAUCAGAGCAAGGUGUGGAGAUAACCAAACAAAGGCCCGUAUUUAGGGCCAAAGCUGGGCUUGCAGACAGGCAGGCAGAAACCAGAAGAUUCACAGGGGAUCGCUGUGGGAGGGGAGGGGAAGAGUAGAGAGUGCUGGUGGUCAGUAAGGUGCAAGCAGAGUUGGCAAGUAGUAUACCGGAAGGGGGAGAGAAGCAACCAGAGACUCUCUUUUGCUUCAUCCUAUAAACUUCUUUUGCGCUCUGGCUAGGGCUGGAGUUAAUCAGAGAACCAAAGGGGAUAGCCAUGAUGCAAUGCAGCAGUUCUCCCUGUGUGAGGGAAAAAGCAAAGCCUAUUUUCUACAAAUUCUUUCCUGUCCAGUUUUUAUGCUGAAACUCCUGCAUUAGAUGGAUCCUUUGAGCAAAGGCACUAUCUAUAGAGAGCCAAUGUUAAAAAAAUAAUAUUUAAAAUGAAGGAACAUUAACUCAAUAGUACAGACCAUGUAAUUACUCCUUAAAGAGAAAACAAUAGGUUUAAGUAAACUUUGAUAGUUGUGGUCAUGGAGUAUAGAAAAAAACUGUGAUUAUCAGUGUCUGAGAGAAGAGAGCCCCCAAAAGAGAAUAGGUGUUUUAAUUGAGCUUCACUGAGCACACACAUACACACAUACACACACAUAGAAGCAACUGAAAAUGGGUCCUUAGAUGUCCAGAAUUUUUAAUACAAGUUCUAAGAAAUCAAUGGGUUUUUUUUUUUUGGUAAUACACACUGUGUGAUUAUGAUAAUUUAUGAAAAUAUUCUGGAAUUUAUUCCUUUGAUUUUGGAGGGGGUUGGCAAGUGAUCUCAAAUAUCCAGUGUCCCAAUUCUAUCAAUUUGUAACGCUCAAGUACAGGGGAAGAAUGCACCAUUUUGACACCCUGAAGUGAUUUUUAAAAAAAUACCACAAUUGUAAUCUGUAAGUAACAGAAAUCAUAGCACCACGGGAACUUUAUUAUACUGAGAUGAACUCUAUCACCAAAGUUGGCAGAAGUGUAACUCAAGGAGGAGGCACAGCCACCAUAUCCAGAUGAUGGUUUUGUUACAAGACAACAAUGAAUCAGUGGCUGAGCUGAGAGAACCCCAUUGCCUGUCUGCUGUUUGACUGGUUCUGACAAGGAGGCAGGCUGGACCCCUCCCAAGGACCCCUCCCAAGGACCCCUCCCAAGGUAAUCAGUCCUAUGGCAUAUGCCUCCAAGGAUCCCGUCUAUGGUGUCCUCAACAUACUUGUCUUUCCCUUCCUUCUGCCUUAUAUUUUCCUCUUUAAAUUUAUUUUGUCACAAGAAAACUUAGGGGACAAAUUACUUAAUUUUUCAGUAAUUUUCAUGCAUGAGAACUAAUGGAACUCAGUUUAUUUGUUAUGCCAUUAUAAUCUAUAGGACCAUAAAAUGGUGCUUUCUAGGUCAUGUAUUUCCUGUGAUUAUCAGACAGUAAGACGGAGUAGCAGUUCAAUAUGUAAGCUCUGGAGUCUUACAACUGGUAUGACUUUAUGAUUUUUCUAUGUCCUAGUUUUCUCAUAGGAAGAUUAUGAAGAUAAAAUGAGAAGUGCCAGGAAAUGGCUUAGAGUAGUCCUGGCAUGUAGUAAGUGCUCAGUAAAUUUUUAACAAAAGGAAAAAGAGAAAGCUUUCAGAUUUCACUAUUAUCAGGCUAACAUGAGAAACUUAAAAUAUUGGGAUAUUUGCUAAUCAUUAAUCUUUUUACGGACUCUUUUUUUCAUUAAACCUUUCCAAACAGCUACUAAGAGCACUAAUGGAGCAAACAAAGGUAUAUAAGAAAUAAUCUAUGACUUUGAGUUAGUAGGGUCCAAUGAAAGAUUCUAACAUAUGCAAUUAUAAUACAGUGGGGGGUGCUUAGUGUUGGAACUCAAGAGAUGGGAGCUAAGGGAGGGGUGGACAGAAGAUAGAAGAGAGUUUGGGAACACAUUGUGAAAGGGAAUGGGACUGAAAUGUCUGGAUCUGUUUUAGACAUUCAAGUGCUGGUGGGAGUUGAGACCAUGAGGAGAUGAGUCUCUAGACAGGCAUUUUGAGGAAGAGAGAAAAGUCAGUGGUGCUUAUUUAUUCAUGACUAGAAACUCAAGACAAGUUUUCUUGCUUUUUCAGCUUAAAAUGAGUUAGUCAAAAUGAAGAAAACUUUCUUUCUAUAGUCAAGGGAAAAAAAGUGUCUCUAAUUAAACCCAGCUGGUGUGGGGGUGCCGCUGGUGUAAGAGUGAUGCUGGUGGAACGGGGAGCAGCAUUCAGCUUCCUGCUGGCAGACUGAUCUACUGCAAGGCUGUUGAGAAUGGCUUAGUUGAUUUGAAGGUCAAGUUUAAGAAAAUGCUGGAGGGCUGAUAGAGGGCUGAUAGACACAGGGCUCUGUGGGGAAACUGGAAGGCCAUGUAAGUCAAGAAAGAAGAGGUAACUUAGGCAGAUGGGACUAUGGCUGGAUCCAAGGCCAAAAUGUUUCACCAUAAGCCAUAAAAGUUAAAAGAUGGCAAAGCCAGGGCUAACCAAAAGUGAAGUGAAAUUGUGAUGAUUUCCCUGAUGAUGUGUCAAGUGUAUUCUGUGCAUUCUGCUUGGAAUUUUUUGAGUAAUCUCAGUCUGAGAUAGGCUCAGUUUAAGACAAGGGCCCAGUUUAGGGUUGGGAUAAAACUGCUGUGAGAACACUCCAGGGAAGCAUUUUGGCCUUGAGAUGUCUUCUGGAAUAAAUUAGACAUGCUGAUGACAAAACCUAGAUCAUCUCUAAUAAUCUACGUACACUGCUGGGGGGCCAUUUUAUAGAUAAUUCUUCUCCCAAGGUACAAAUUGACUCUAAAUGUCAUUUUGAAAAUAUUAGCAAAGCUUGGAACGUAACAGGCAAAAUACUGUUCUUUUAACUUUCAUAAGUUGUUGUGAUAUGCUGUUACAGGAUCACCUUUAGAGUUUUAACCUUUUAGUUAAACUAUCCUUUUUGCUUUAUCAUAAGUACCUUAGGGAUGCCUGGGUGCCUCAGUGGUUGAGCGUCUGCCUUCAGCUCACAGCGUGAUCUUGGGAUCCAGGAUGGAGUCCUGCAUAGGCUCUCUGUGGGGAGCCUGCUUCUCUCUCUGCCUAUGUCUCGGUCUUUCUCUCUCUCUCUCUCUGUGUCUCUCAUGAAUAAAUAAAUAAAUCUUAAAAAAAAAUAAGUACCUUAAAAACAACCUAUUUCUAUCUACCACAAUUUAAUGACAAAUUCAAAUAAGUCAUUUGGCAUCAUGUACACAAUGCCUAAAAAUAGUCAAAAGUAGAUCAAAGCAGUUAUUUCUAGUUAUAUUAUAUUAGUAUUACUGAUAUCUAAACUAAUUUUUUCAUUUAUUUACAAUAUAAGGGGAAGCAAUAUAUAUCGAACACAUGUAUAUAAACACUACAAAACUUACAUUAAUUGCCUUUACCUCUAUCUUUGACUUUAACAGUUAAAGAAUAACAUAAAUUUAACUUUUAAUACUAAUUUUAAUAAUUAACAUAAGAUAUAAGGAUAGUCUUAUUUGGAACAUUAACCACAGGUUGGAGUUUUAGAAUAGUCUACUCUGCACACUUCAGAAAUUAAGAAUGUUUACAUUUUUACUGACUUAAUAGCUGAUUAUUGUCUAGUGUUUCCCAAAUACAUCUGGUGCUAAAAAAUAAUUUCUACAACUUAAGUGUGCAUUGACAAAUG